rnacentral:tRNA from 1 species
GCGCCAAUAGCUUAAUCGGUAAAGCGCCCGUCUCAUAAACGGUAGAAGGAGCGGAUCGUAACCGCCUUGGCGCACCA